UUUGCCUGCUAAAAAUAGAUGAGUGAUUGGCCUGAAGCUAGAAAAGAGCCAAGAUGAUGCAAAAGCUCUCUAGAAAAUCUAUGCUGUGGAUGAUGAGCCGACCUAGAUGCCAGAUGACCUAGGUGAGGGCCCGACUCUACUAGUGACAGCGACAUCAUCUCAGGCAAGUCAGUUGUUCUAGAUCUUUUUAUUUUUAGUUGUUCUAGAUCUUAAUUUUACUGUCUUUAAAACUAGGAAAAACAAAAUUAUUAUUUACUUUUUUUUAAGACAACAAAAUAUCUAAAUCACCUUUCUAAGGAUCCAGCCUUGGUGAACAUAUUUUCCAAACCAAACUUUCAAGUACAUGCUCAGAAAAGAUUUUGGGACUUACGGAAUUAUUUCUGUAAAAAUUCUUACCAAGAAGUAAGCAUUCAUCACAUUUGUUUAUAGAUCUCCUAAAUCUUCUUUAAUCGAAAACAAUAAAAACAGCCCCAAGUUAAGACUAUUGCAGAAAAUAGGGGACUUUGGUGCAUUAUUUCUUCACUAGAGAAACAGUAAAACAAAAACAAAACCCCACAAAGUUGCAGAAGACCCAUUUUGUGCCUCUUGUUUGCCAUCACAGCCCCAGAUCAUCAUCAUCCACUGACAUCCCCACAUUCAUUCUGCAGACAGCCCUGGACACAGUCCUUCCUGACCAAUCCUUCCAAUUACUGGUUGCCUUGGCCAUGUCAUCACCAACCUUUUUUGGAGACAGACCCAGCGGGCCGAUCUUCGGGCAGACGUGGCACCGACCUCACCACCAGUGCACCUCAGAUGCCCCUCUAUUACAUCUCUUGAGACAGCUGAAGAAAGAUCUUGCCCCACUCUGAGCACACACAGACGAGUCUGCCCCCGUGUGACUACCAGGCCACCAGGGCCUCCUGCAACCCAUCGUGGACCUGUUUGAGAAUCGCCCCACAUCCAAGUGACACAAAACCAGAACAGUAACCCAUCUGAAGAGAGACUUCAAGCUUCACUUUUGAAUCAACUGGAAAUUUGGACAAAACUUCUGUUGACAUAUCUGCCUCUUUCACUUUCAGUUCAAGGAGACUCAGUGACCUUUUUUAAAGGAUGUGACUCUCUUUGCCUGGCAAACAAUAAAUUCCUGUCUAUACAUUUAGACGACUCUGGU
rnacentral:lncRNA from 12 species